AACGAACGCUGGCGGCAUGCCUAACACAUGCAAGUCGAGCGAGAUCUUCGGGUCUAGUGGCGCACGGGUGCGUAACACGUGGGAAUCUGCCCUUUGGUUCGGAAUAACAGUUGGAAACGACUGCUAAUACCGGAUGAUGACGAAAGUCCAAAGAUUUAUCGCCAGAGGAUGAGCCCACGUAGGAUUAGCUAGUUGGUGUGGUAAAGGCGCACCAAGGCGACGAUCCUUAGCUGGUCUGAGAGGAUGAUCAGCCACACUGGGACUGAGACACGGCCCAGACUCCUACGGGAGGCAGCAGUGGGGAAUAUUGGACAAUGGGCGAAAGCCUGAUCCAGCAAUGCCGCGUGAGUGAUGAAGGCCUUAGGGUUGUAAAGCUCUUUUACCCGGGAUGAUAAUGACAGUACCGGGAGAAUAAGCUCCGGCUAACUCCGUGCCAGCCGCCGCGGUAA
rnacentral:rRNA from 1 species